rnacentral:lncRNA from 1 species
ACGUCACCUUAGGAGGCCGAGCCAAGAAGUCCUGCUUACCUGAGAGCUCAGAAAAAGAGACCUGAGAGUGGGUAGACGGGUGGGUGGGGAGUGCCGCGUGUGACAGUGCGCUGGAGGCCAGAAGGACCCAAGACUGGCGGUCCCCACGCGGUAUGGCAGGCGCUAGGCUGCGUUCCUGCCACACUCGGGAGACCCACGGGGUUUCAGAGUUCUCUAGGUCGGUUUCUGAAGAAUCAGGCUCCGCUUCACCAUAGGGAGGACUUUCCCAUCCCGGAUAACCACAGGGUCCUAAAUGUGCCUGUCACCAUGAGGCGAUUGCUUCCUUCACUCCAAGGAAAAGGAACUUGUGGAUUGACUGAGCCACCAGAAAUGGGUCGCAGUAGGGGAAACUGCAAAGACCCUUCUCAAAGAAGACGCCACAGCCAUCUCCUCUCCUCUGACUCACCAUGGUCGUUCAUUAGUGCUGCGGUUCUUAGGACGUUUGCUUUUCGUUGAUUUUGACUUUUUGCCUUUGGCUGAGAAGGGAAAGAUGUUUCUUGUUCCAGUAUAGAUGAAUGACUAAUUGGAUUAUCCAGUUUUCCUUUGCACGGCGUUUGGUUCUUAGGGAUAGUAAAGUGUAGUCAAGAGGGCAGCGUCUUCGUUUUACAUAGUGUUUUCUUCGUGUCAUAGCUUCUUGAUCCCAAACUGUUCCUGACAUUUAAAUAUGGUGGACAGAGUGCAGAAUUGAUAGAAAAUGUUGAGGGCACUCUGGAAAUAGUUGUUAAAAUGAUCAAUGUAGAUCUAUUUUGUCUAGGUUUUGUAGUGUAGUCAUCAGACUUCAGGGCAGGAAUGCUUCCCCACCAAAUCUGGACCCAGAACUACUACAGCAGAUGAACUUAAGGUAGCUAGAACAGAAGCUAACGAUCUUGGGCACCAGGCACAUACAUGGUGCUCAUGUAUACAUGUAGGCAAACCAUUUAUGCACAUAAAAUCUUAAAAUUAC